AUUGAACGCUGGCGGCAGGCCUAACACAUGCAAGUCGAGCGGAUGAAGGGAGCUUGCUCCUGGAUUCAGCGGCGGACGGGUGAGUAAUGCCUAGGAAUCUGCCUGGUAGUGGGGGAUAACGUCCGGAAACGGGCGCUAAUACCGCAUACGUCCUGAGGGAGAAAGUGGGGGAUCUUCGGACCUCACGCUAUCAGAUGAGCCUAGGUCGGAUUAGCUAGUUGGUGGGGUAAAGGCCUACCAAGGCGACGAUCCGUAACUGGUCUGAGAGGAUGAUCAGUCACACUGGAACUGAGACACGGUCCAGACUCCUACGGGAGGCAGCAGUGGGGAAUAUUGGACAAUGGGCGAAAGCAUGAUACAGCCAUGCCGCGUGUGUGAAGAAGGUCUUCGGAUUGUAAAGAACUUUAAGUUGGGAGGAAGGGCAGUAAGUUAAUACCUUGCUGUUUUGACGUUACCAACAGAAUAAGCACCGGCUAACUUCGUG
rnacentral:rRNA from 1 species